rnacentral:lncRNA from 1 species
UACCUCCUUUAGAUAGAUAGAGCCCUGUGCUCUUAAUGUAGAGCUAUAACUACUACAACCGUGGAAUCCGCGAUCACACAUGAGUACCUCGCCUUUCAAAAAAAGCAGCUGCUAAUUGGCACUAAUGCUAAUGGGGACCAUCGAUCAAGAAGGACUUCAGGGACUGCAAUCAAAUAAAAUAUAUAUAUAUAAAUAUGAAGCCAACUCUUCUAGUUGCGCCUCUAACCUUACUACGCUACCCAACCAGCUGAUAAAAGGUCUAAUUCAGUAGGGCUAGAGGCACGAAAUGCCGAUCAAACCCGUUAAAGGAAGCCUAAUCAAAGCAGGCAAACAAGAAGAUCUGACUGAGUUGAUGAUGGACCGGAUCUCGAAAGGUGGGAGACUUUGAUAAAGACGUAUGAGAAAGGGAGGGUCGAGAGAGGCUUAUUGCACGAUCCACCCAACUCAGCUAGGCUAAUAAAUGCUGCAUAAGAGAGUGGGAGGCUGGCCCCUGCCCAUUUGGAGGUGCACACCCAUUUAGGAACAUAUGCAAAGGGGUAAAGAAAGAAGUUAAUGGAGAACUACCAAAUCUAAUAACUUUGAUUUGUUCGUAUCAUUCUGUCAUCGAUCACUACUGGGUCGGUUGGUGAGUCACCCUAAAAAAAGCAUCAAGAAAGAUCAAGCAUAUAUGUUUUAUGAAAUGAUCAGCAGUCUCAUUUAUGCUAUGCCCUGCGUCGUGUUCGUGUGUGUUUAUUGAGCUUUCUUCACUUCAGUGCCACGCGCUUUGCUUCGCUUUAUAGAAGAGAGAGACCGUUGUCUUGAGAGUGAAAAGAAAGCGCAAGCGAUAGAAAGGAUAGUCCCUCGCGCGUUCGCGCGAACUACUAGAAAAUGGUGAGAUCAUUAGAUCAUUAGUGAAAGAAGGACCAACGACGAUGAAGGUUACGAAGGAGAAGGAGGAGUCAGUCUUCUUUGAAGAUCGAGGAAAAAAUCAGACAAUUAUGCCAUUCGACAGAAGUCUUCUACAGAAGGAAAGCCUGUAUCGAGUAAGUGGAGAGGAAAGAUCCCCAGAGAUUCCUAUCUUAUUCCAUUCCAGUGGCUCGACCAAUAACCAAUGGCGAAAACUAAAAAAUCCAUGGUUUCCCGGUAGAACCCCAUUUCGCCCAAGUUAUUGCGGAACCGAAAAAAAGAAGCAAUUUUUCGUACAGCUUGCUCAUAGUGCAGGUUCCACUUGUAUAUUGUAUUUGGCCGAAAAAGCAUGGACAGGUUGGAGUUCUUACCUUCUUGGGACUCCAUGGACCAAGAUCUGCUUUCAUUAUAUGGGCAAUACCGAUCUACUUUAGUAGAUCAUAUGGAUAUAGAAAAAGCUUCUGAUUUUGAUGAAUUCUAGACAUCUCUUUUCCAUUUCUAUUUACCUAGUUCAUAUCUUUGUUUCGUGUGUUCCCAAGAGGAAUUCGAUCUCUUCAAUCUCGGGAUACAACUUAAAUAAUUACGGCCAAAAAGUAAAAUAGGUUGGGAAGAAAGAGUCUGAGGUUGGGUCGGACGACAUACAUCUUGGUUGGUUCCAGCACCAACUUUCUUUAUGUGAGUGAUUUUAACCCUUAGAUUCUCCAAAAACAUCUUUAGCCAUUCUUUUAAUGCAAUUGGCCAUCUUAUACCACAUCACAGAGGUUUCUUCCUAAAAAUUCCAUUUCCCUUCCUCGUUAUAAAGAGAAAGUCAUUUGGCAUACCUGCAUGGAUUAGAUGUCCAGAUAAACCCCCUGACCUCGGAAGUCUUUUGACCUCACUCACAUGAUCAGCAAAUGGGAAGCUUGAAAAAGCGGCUUUUCACUCCUCUCCUUACAGUCGAGUGGCUUUCACUCCUUCUUUCGUAAAAUAAAGCAAAACGGCUGCUGCAACUACAGGUGAAUAUGGCACGGCUCUUGUAUGAUGGAGAAAAAAUGACCAGAAUCAAAAGAUAGACCAAAUUCAAUGGAGGAUGGGGAGUAUGGCUGAGAUUCCAAAUCUUAAGAGAUUGAAAGAGUGUAGGGGACAUAUUCUACAUCUUAAUAGCCCCAUGCUUUAUUAGCACAGUGUUAGAGAAGGGAGGACCGAACAAUAUGACAGGGCAAGAGCUCCACUUAGCUUAGUUAGGAAGGCAAUAUUUUGCGUGCUAAGGCGCGCGUAAGCAUCAAAGCCAUAGCAUGAUAGGAAAGAAUAUUAGUCUGGACGGCGGGGAAGAUAGUUCAUAUGAUUUUUCCAAAGAAUGAUUCUACAAUCGUACAUAAUACAAUACAAAAUCGAUUUUUUGACGCGAGAAGACGGUGGAGAAAUAAUAACAGCAGGCAUUGAGAGGACACAUACUAAAUGGUCUACCUACUUCGUUAUAAUGGUUCCUGAUGAGAACUACCUAGAUGCUGCAUCAAGGUUGGUUGUUAGGAAUGGGGUAAAAAUGUAGUUUACGUUUCAACUGGAUCAGUUCGCCUGCAGGGACGAAUGAAGGAAUGCUUUUCUUUGGAGAGAUAAAUCCUGUUCCCUUCACCGCUCUGUGGGCUUCUGGGUAAACUGAUGGUGGGUAUCAAUAGAUCUCUUUUCCACCUAGGUUAAAGGGGUAUGCCGCUAUAUAUGCUACACCAAAGUAUGCUCCUAGCUAAGCUACUGGCUUUGGAUCUGCCUCUCGAGCACGAAGGUCAUAUUCAAUUCAUAAGGCUAUCGAUCAUGAAGGUUUGCCUAUGGCUCUGUAUCUAUCUCUGUCUGCUGGUGCUUAUUUUGGUAAGCUGCAGGAUCAACAACUGGAUCAGUUGGAACUACAAAAGGCUAUGGCUAUGGAACUUUUUUGGAUACUUAACAAGGUGCUGGAUCAACCGGUGAUACUUCCUAUGCCGAGAGCACCAAUAGAUAGCUUAGAGAACAGGUCUAGUUAAAGCCCACCGGCAGUGAGCCAGGAGUACGAAUAGACAAUAGGGGGUUCAUUUGCUUUUAUCCUGUCUAGAUAAGAGAUUUGAAGGUCGAUAAGGAGUUGGUAAGCGCAUUGACUUGAGUUCUCCUCCGCCGGUCUUGAUGUUGGAACCAAUCCACGGAAUGGGGGAAUAAGAAGAUAAGGAAACAGGAUUCAUUGGUGGUCCAUUCUUCCCGGUGCCUCGAUAGGCGGGAAGAAGAAAAAAUGUAGUGAAGAGAAGCGUAGGAGGCUAUGGGUAUAGCAUCCUAACGUAGGAGUGAAGCACGUUGUCUUACUCUGGAAAGCUCAUCUCGGCCUUCAUUAAGUAAAUGGGCUUAGUCAGACCAACCAUAAUGUAAGUAAGAAGAAUGGCGGUGGUCUUCCAAGAAGCCGAGAUGGCAGAAUAGCACGAAGCGAGAAUCUUACUUUAGAGCAGCUCUUGAAUAAGUAAGUGUUCCGCAAGUGUAGGUGAAGAAUUAUCCGACUUUCUUCUAAGAGUGGGUCUGUCUAAUCAAAUAAGAGAUCAAACAAACUCCUCUUCUUCGAACUAGUCAUUAAUGGUAGGUUCAUAUGGGUAUCCUUUUCCUUUUAUGGCGAACCGAAAGGUCGUUAGUGAAUAUAACAUGAAAGCACAGUGUUCUCAGUGUUUUCUUUACAGAUAUUGCCUUUCCUAUGAAGAUAUUUGGUUGAGGUUAGAAUUUGGUCAUUCUUUUGAAUUGACUUUGCGCUUUCACGGGCGGAUCUGUCAACCAUAUGUUAAUCGUGCGUGUUCUAAACUAGAAGCCGAAUGUCGACUGCUACCUACCGGUUUGGCGGAAGAAAUCGACAUGAGGUAGGAAGCCGAGUAGGAGCACCCAAUGACAUCCGUUACAUGACCACUUCAUUUAGUCGUAUCCAUCGGCAAAGAUGGAAUGUUUACAAAUAACAGAUGGUCAGACAGUGGUAACUGCACUGUGUGACCGGGAUAGAGUCUUCCGAUCGCGUAAAAGAGAAAGUUUUCAUAGUCCGUAGGUCAAGUCCAAUAAGAAGUUGUUUGUUUAGCCUUCGGUCUUUUAAACUAGAAAUUUUAUUGUGAGCCGUUAUGUCACUGAUACUCUUGAGUACGCAACUGAAGGAAUAUCACUCUUAGCUCUUGUUUAACUACCAUGCAUGUAUUUGUUUAGAUAAGUCUACCUAAGGUAAGACCCAUGGAAAGAAGCUAACUCCAAGUACAAAAAAUGAAGGACAGACUAACUCACCGGAUAAGACCUCAGGACUGGUCUAUAAAGCCUAAAAAAAAAUCUACUAAAUGAAUUGAGUUGUGCCAAAGGAGCAAAACGGCCAACUAUUAAUGGAAUUCCUUGUCGGCUUUUUUUAGAAUACUCAUUUGGCCGAGAGCUCCCAAACCUAUACCAGAAGAGGAAGCUAAACCCGUGCUGACGAAUAACUAACCCCCUUAAUUCGUUGAGUAAAUAGGAAAGGUAUAGGUUUGCUAUGAAUGACCUAGUCUCGAAUACUGGUAAAAAUAUUCGCAAAAGAACGUUCUCCCGUGCUUCAAGACAUGCUGAGCUCCACAUAUUCAUGGACAGUAAAAGGGGGGAUUGAUUCUGUGAAAGAUAGGAUCAGUAAAUGGAAAUUCACUGAGAUUUAAUAUUUGUGAGAUCUUCAAUAGUGGUACCGAGGGUGUCUUUAGAGUGUACCGAAUCAGUAUAGCUAUCCUUCUUUUGACCCAGUAACGCAAUUUCAAUCAGUAUAGAAAAGAAGUGAUACAAUAUUUCUUUCUUCUUUUUUUUUGCUUGUUAUGUUAAUGCAGAACCAUGUGCCAUUCAAUAGGAAAAUGCCUCUCCUGUAGUAUAGGGUUUCUUUCCAUUACUGGCUUCAGACUAGAAAGUGAAGAUUUGGUAAAGUGUGAGUCCGACGAGUGGGGUUCUAAUAAUUCAUGAAAGAUAUUUUCAUAUUCCCAAAAUUGAAUUAGAUGCGAAAUCUAUAAAGCCCCUUUUCGUGGUUGUAGAAAAGGUUUUUUUGUUCGAAUCCUUUCAUUUUAAGGAAUUGGUUGGUCGUAACAAGUAUUAUAGUAUAUAGUCUUCGAUAAAAGAAACAAAACAAACAAUAAAAUAAUUGGAACAAUUAAUAUUCGUGAUGCAAGCAUUGCUGUAUUAGAUCUAAAGGUUUUUCUUAACCUAGCUACAAGGAUGGGACUCUAAAAUAUUGAAAGAAAAAAUGUAGAACCUAAAAGGAAAAGAACAUAGGAAUUACUAGUCUUAGAAUCGAGUUAGACCAAAAUAAAGGUUUGAUUUCUUCGAGCGAUCGUGCGAUACUUUUUUUCUUCUUAUUCGAGAUAUUAUGUGCAAUUAAUAAACCUAUUACUGAAUCUAAUAAGUUAAAGUAAAGUUAAAGUGUUAGUUGGUUGUUGUUCGUUCUAAAAUAGAAAAUGGAUUUGAUACAAUUUAUUUAUUUUAUUUUAGUUCCCAUAUCUCGAAAAUGGGGUCUGUUGAUUCGUAAUCACGCUCUGUAGGAUUUGAACCUACGACAUCGGGUUUUAGAGACCCACGUUCUACCUAACUGAACUAAGAGCGCUUUCUUAUCAUAGUAGAUACAAUUGUAAAGAAAAGGAUGAUUUUUGUACCUUCACUACAUCUUGCAUGCAUCUAGUAUCAUUAAAUUAAAAAUUUGUCAUGUCUUGAAUCGAUCUUAACCUUCGUUACUACCCAGAGGAGAAGGUAGGGAUGACAAGAUUGGAACCCGUGACAUUUUGUAUCCAAUCCAAAACAAAGACGCUACCAAGCUGCGCCACAUCCCUUUCAAUUGGUCUACGGUGUCAUUGUAGAGAGUCUCUGCCCUGUUUUCCACAUCAUUAUUUCCUCCAUCAAUAUCCAAUUUAUCUUGCCAUUUCUUCUUUUUGGUUUUCAUUUUUUUAUAUACUAAAUAUCAUCCCGCCGCUCCUACCAACGCUUACUUAUGAGAAAAAAGGGUUAAAAAAAUUAGCCUUUUGAAUAAGCGAGGCUUUCCCGAUAGAAAUAGUUGUAUGCGAGGAGAUCCCAAUUCCGUGUAUCCGGUUAAGCAAGCCUUGCCACUAGCUUCCACCCAGACAAAAAACAUGAGCGCCUAGCAUGAAAGGUUGCUUUACUAAAUAAUAUAAGGUGCGUUAGCGCUUUAAUUUUCAACAAGGGGCGGAGCUUGAAGAAGCGAAGUGAGCCUAGAGUAGCAGCCUAUUACGUUUUUCAGGCCCCUUUACUUGAUAUUCUAUUAGUAAAGCGCUAGCACCCCUAUAGAGUAAGGGUCUUCUGCUAUCAAUGAAACUGAAAGCAAAAAUCCAGUGCAUUUUGUAUAGAUCGAGACUUGUAGCUUGAUUCUUUAGUCAUUCCAUACUGGGAAGAAUUACAGGAAAUCAUUCAAUUCUUCCUAUUUCUCAAUGAUAUCUGACGAUCAAGACAAUUACCAUGAAACUUUUUCAUUUCAUAGAAGUGAAUUCUUAUUCUUACAAAGCAAAUAACAUUUCCUAUUGAUUUGUCCCCUGGACUGGAUCUAUUCUUCUUUUUAAUUAUCCGUCGCUACGCUGAUCCUAAGGACUGGCAAAAUCGAAAUAGCGAAUGAGGUAAGGACCUCUUCUCUCUGACGUAGCCAAAGUGAGAACCAUUCGACUGAGGUCGAGAUCUAAGCCGGUCUAUAGCACAGGUGCUACAGUGAAAGAUUCCGCCGUAGCUAGAUGCCUUGAAGAAAGAGCAAAAAGACUCACUUUGGGUCCAUAGCUCCAGUCAAAAUGGUUCUUCCCCCCCUUUUAAAGAAAGCCCUGAUCGUUGACCACCCUUUUGCCAUUCUUUUUCCAAUGAGGAGUCCGACCGAUGAACCUUGGGAGCAUUCCGGGCAAGAUCUAUGGCUUCAGCUACGGCUAAGUGAACUACCUAUUAUAUAUAUUCUUGAGAAGUGAAUAUGAGAGAAAAAGCUUUCACAUCACAUAGUGGAAGGCUGGCCUUCUCUCUUCCCAAUUCUCCCAAUGAGACCUCUUUCACUCACUUAGUGGACGACCCAGAGGAUGUGAAUAAAGCCCUCUUUUGUCUCAUCCUGAUCCCCCUGAAAAGAGAGUGAAGUAGCGGCUCCGCUCCGUCUUAUUACUGGGGUGGAGUCGAAGCUAUGGCACCAGAUAAUCAAAGAGAUUCCUUCCCGAACCACUCGUGUAGUCUUCUUCCUGCCUCCCAGUUAGACCCUAUCUCGCUUUCCAAGUCUCAUUUGAAUGAGGCGCCGCCGCUACUAAAUGCAACUCUCUUUUCAACAUUCUUUCUCCUCUAUUGGAAUUCCUUCUCUAUCUGCCUAGAGAACCUCUCUUUCCCUACAAGGUACUAGAAGGUCGACCCCACUUUCCACACUAUGUUGACUUGACUCCUGAGCCCAGCCAUUCCCCGCCACUCUUUCACACUGCAGCAAGGGCUUUGUCAUAAGAAGCAACACUCUCUUGUCCACUUCGAUAGCAUUCUAGAGUCUCUUUCAUACAUCGUUCCGGGGUUCGGGACCCCCUUCUGGCGGGCCUUCUUUCCUCUGCUUCCUUGUGCUUUUGAGAUUGCUAGAAAGUUUCCAUUGACUGAUUCACCAAGCCAAGCAUUGGAGCAAGCGAGGAAGAUCGCUUUUUCCAUAAAAAAAGUAUGGGAAUAGGACCCCAACUUCGAAAUCAAUUCCAACCUUUCACCUGGUCGCUAACCUAUUUUUUUGAGUCCCUUUGUUCUCCAUUCUUUCCUGCCAGUAGUGUAGGUGGAGGACUUUAUUUACGCUAUUUCAUCAAAUGAUAAGUUUAUAGGCAUGGACAAAAAGACAUUCUUUCCUACUUACUAUGGGUAGCUGCGUUCCCUAGAAGAUCUUGGCAUCAAAGAUCCUUUUCCCGAAGAAAAAAAAGACCCCACUGUGGUGGAGCAGAAGGUGAGAGUACUGUCAGACUAUUUUCCUACGUGUGAUUGGUCCAGAUUCAUUUUCCUUACCAACCCCAGCUCAACCUAGCACGACCAGUACAAAUGCCCUAGUUCGACUCAGGUCUGUAACACCCCUUACCCGUACCCGAGGCCGGGAUAAGGUACGAGGCGUUACCGAACAAACAUACAAACAUUAAACUAAAAUACGGCCCAUAAAAUUUCAUUCAUAUUUCAAAACGUUCAUUCACUUACACAUAGUCCCUUAUUUGAGUCUACGAAGCCCAAAACAUACUUUAGAAAGGGUUCGGGACUAAACUGAGAACUUACAAAAAUCUUGGAAAUUUCAUACUUUAAGGCUCCACACGCCCGUGUCCCAAAGUUGUAUUCCAUACACGGCUGAGACACAUGGUCGUGUCUCUGCCUGUGUAGAAUAUACCUAGGCUAUUUUCCAAGCAUUGGUCAACAUUAAUCUCUUACACACUUAUACAAAAUCAAAAGCAUAUAACAUGGUAUUCAUUUAAUGAUUAAACAUUCUCAAUUAAACCACAAACAUAGCAUUUGUAUGUCAUCAUACAUGUGUCUCUCAUACUUAUUUUACCUUGUCUAUUAUAGUAUCACUUAUACAUUUAUACCAAUAUUAUCAUCUUACCAAGUAUCUUCAGCUUAAUCAUCAAGCAUUCAUAUUUAAAGCUAGAUCAUAUCUUUAUAAAAUACCACAAUUUAGAUGCGUAGAAUAACAUGUUUGCCUGAAACAUUUUAAUUCAACUCCAUACCCUACAAGCAUUACAUUGAGACUAGUCAUAUAUAUAUACAUGUCAUGAUACAUAUCAUUCUCUUUCUGUUUUCUUAUAAACACAUAUCAUUUAUUUCAUUAUAUCAAUAUUUCAUAUACCAUAGUUUCCAUGUAUUCCACAUAUAUUUAUUUUCCUCCUCCUCCUCUCCAUUCCACAUCCUUAAUGUAUAUAGCAUUCUUGUAAGUACGAUUUCACAAUUUACUGAUAAAUGCUCACAUCAAACUAUCCACACGAGUCAUAGUCACUUAUUUAUAAUUCGAGCUACAGAGGUCCAAAUUAAUAUCCGUAAAUUUCCCAUAAAACUAGACUCACAUAUCGUUCCACCAUAAAAUUUUCAUAAUUUUUAGUUUAGCCAAUUAGUACAGUUUAUUUAUUAAAUCUUCCCCUAUUUCACUUUCUGAUAGUUCUGUCCUCUCUUCACUAAAAAUUAAUUAUCUCAUAGUACAGAACUCGGAUAAUGUUCUUGUUGAUUUAUAUUGAAAGUAGACUCAUUAUGAAUUUUAAAAAUAUAAGUUUGAGCCUUUAAUUAUUUUUCUCCAAAUUUUUGUGAUUUUCCAAAGUCAAAAUAGGGGAUCACACAAUCAUUCAGAACCAGUCUCACAAAAACAUAAAUAUCUAAAAAUAUAGAACUCCUUUGCUUUCUCUGUUUCUUUUAUAUGAAAAUAUACUUAUUAAUCUUUAAUUUUAUAUCUGAUUCAGUCUCUUAUUCAAUUUAUACUAUUUUUGGUGAUUUUUCAAAAUCACGUCACUGCUACUGUCCAAAACAGUUUUAUUGCUAAUUCACUCUUUCACACUUUCUUUGUAUUAACCUUAUUUUAACAUACAUAUCACAAAUCAUUUUCACCAUAUUUCAUACAUCACAAGUAUAGGCCCAUGAUCACAAGAUCACCAUAAAAUCAUCCUCAUGUAUAACUUACUUGUUUAUAACCUUACCACAUCCUGGUCACUUAAUGAACACAUCAUUCACAUAACCAAGUUCAUGCACUUAUUCAUCACAAAACUCACAAAGCAAUACAUAGAGAGUCUCCCGUUGAACACUUCGGAUCAAUCCUCAAUACUUGGUGGUUUCAGCACAUAGCUCCACCCAUCAUAGAGUUCGGCUCUCUUGUACACAUGGUGAACACUCAGUACCACCCAUGUGACCUAGCCAAUUUAUCUCGUAGCUCUCUUGUCUACAUGGUGUCCUUCACCUGGAGCCACGCAUGCGACCUAGCUACAUAUAUCCCGUAGCUCUCUUGUCUACAUGGUGUACACAUAGUAUCACCCAUGCGACCUAGCUACAUCAUAAUGUCUUGUAGCUCUCUUGUACACAUGAUGUGCACUCAGCACCAUACAUGUGACCUAGCUACAUACUAUCUGUAUCAUCCAAUCUUUCCGAAGGUUCAACCGGGAUUUCUCUCUCUUUUCCAACAAUUUCACCAAUCAAGUAAUUAUCCACAAACAUAUUUCCAAUAUUAUUAUAAAAUAUCAUAAUACAAGUAAUAUUGAUGUAUUACUUACAUAUUGAUGUAUUACUUACAUAUAAACUUACAUCUCAUUUAAUAUCAAGGCAAUAACAUUAAAUUACACAUUGCCUUAUUAAAAAUCAUAUGAACUUACAAUUUCCCAUAAUAUCCAUAAUCAUAGAAAUCACAUUUAUGUAUGAUAAUUCAAUGCACUUCAUGUACCAUAGACAUAUUUUUAAAUCAAUUUAUAAACUUGGCACCAUAAUCAUUUAAUUUAACAUAACUCAAUUAAUUCACUAAAUUUAACUUUCAAAUAUAAAUUACAGCAUUAUUGCUGUAUUAUUAUCAUACCAACUUACAUACUUUCAAUACCUCGAAAAUCAUAGUAAAUAUAUCAAUUUUACAUUAAAACAUGCGUAAAUUAAUGCUUAUUAUACAUAUGAACUUACCUCGAUACUAAAACGACCAUUUAACUAACUUUCCAAAUUUUCGAUUUUUCUCUCAUUCUAGGUUCAAAUCUCAUUUUUCGGGAUCUAAAACAUCAUAUUUUACUUAUUUAAUUAAUGUACUAUUCAAAACAGUCCUUAACUCAAACUUUGAAAAAUUUAUAAUUUUUCCCCUAAACUUUUGCAUAUUUAUGCUUUUGCCCCUAGGCUCGAGAAUUAAACUUCAUCCCUUAUUCUUAUGUUUUAUGACAUGCUAAUCACUUUUCUCUUCUAUGGAAACAUCAAAUUCUCACUCUAACAUAUACUUAUGACUAUUAGGUAUUUUUACCGAUUAAGCCCUUUUACUCGUUUUCACUCAAAAUUGAGUAGCACAAGUUGUCUAACAUAAUUUAAAACCUCAUGUACUCUCAUAAAAUGUCAAAACAAACACAUUUCACCUAUGGGUAUUUUCCAAAUAUGAACCCUAGCUUAAAUUAUUGCUAGAAUAAGCUUAAUCAAAUUACCGGGAUUCCAAAACGUAAAGAACUUGAAAAACAGGGUUAGAACAGACUUACUAUUGAGCUUGGAAAGCUUGAAAACCCUAGCCAUGGUUUCUCCCAUGCUAGUUUCGGCCUCCGUGAAAAAGAUGAGUAAAUUUUGGCUUUAUUUUCCCUCGUUAUUUCUUUUAAUUACCAAAUGACCAAAAUGCCCUUCUUUACUAAACUUUCAAAAAUUCCAUCCAUGUCCAAUUUUUUUCCGUCACUUAGAAAUCGGUCAAAUUGCUAUUUAAGACCUCCUAAUUAAUAUUUCAAAGCAAUUUCAUACUAGAAACUUCUAGAAUGAAAGUUUUGCAACUUAUUCAAUUUAGUCCCUAACUUCAAAUUGAGCACUUUAUGCAUAGAAUUUCUUCACAAAAUUUUUACACAAUCAUGAAAUCAUAUCAUAGACCUCAAAAUAAUCAUAAAAUAAUUAUUUUUAUCUCAAAUUUUGUGGUCUCAAAACCUCUAUUCCAACUAGACCCAAUUUUAGGCUAUUACAAGGUCUUGCUAUCGCUUUAUGGUGGCGCCAUGCAAAGGUUAGAAUGAGAGUGCCCCUUGCUCCUUAGCCCUUUACCAGACUCCCCUACGUACCAGAAGACUAAAGUUAUCCAGGAAAAACCUUUUAACAAAGCCAUCGACUUGGUCAACGACCCCCAUUUCUUCCCAAUGAUCUUCCCUUUCUGUUGGGCGCUUCGUGGCCCUAUCAGUCAGCGUGCCAAUCAACUGACCCAGUGUCAACACGGAGCAACCGCUAUUCUCGCAACGAACAACCUGUUCCUCCUUUUAUUUAAAUUAAAAUUUUUUUAAAGUCGUUGUCUGUUAAAGCGAGCUCCGCUAUUUCAGAGAGGGGAAAUGGCGUCAUUCUAUGAUAAUAGGACAUGAAAAUCUAGCAAAAGAAAAAUGGAUGUGCUAAAUGAAUAGAGGAGAGGUAAAUCAGCAAAGUAAAAGUAAGCUCCUCCCUGGAACACCAUAUGAAAGAGUGAAUUCAACGGAGUCGGUAUCAUUGAGAAAUAGAUAUCUCAGAGAUAGAUAGACAUUUCCUUUAUUAAUAUGUAACUUCGGGGGACUACCGCUUCUAGAAUGCAACCAUCAUUCUGAGAAGCAAGUAAAGGGAAUGCCUUAAGCAGCGAACACAACUAAUGAGUCUCAUGGGCAAGAUAUCCUACAUUCACUGAUUUUUAUGUUCUAUUAUAUGUCUUUUAUAAAUUGAAAAAAUUAUGUUUGAAGGGGGCGUAAGCGGAGUGAAGUCAACAGAUUGAAUCGUCUUCUCUCGAAUCAUCUUUGAAUGUACGAGUCUCAUAGCCCCUUGACCUCUUCUCUCAAAGAAGGCACUGUGUGGGCAAGUCGAUCAGAGUCAGAGCAGGGGGAAUGUUUACAGUUGUUGUAGUACGACUUUUCAUUUCCUGUUCGAUCUUUCAAAAAGUAGUCAGCUGCGGGAUAAGAAGCCUUUUAGUCAUACUUAACUUAACAUUGAUUGAAGCAACUGUUAGAGAGAAGGCUCCAGUCAGACCUGCAAGCACCGGAUAGUACGCAGCGGCAGUUUUCAAUCAUACAAUGUGUACUCAUAGUCUAACUUUUAGUGGUAGUCAGCUAUCCUCGUUCUUCUCUUUUCAUUUCCCUAUUGAGUAAGGGUCGGUGUUUGCAAAAAUGUUGAGCCGACGGGGUCAGGUACCAGUAGUGACAAUGGCAAAAAAAGGGGGGGUUGAAGAAUGGGGUGUACGACUUGGCUAGUCUUCCUUGCUGGAUGGAAGAACUUCGCCUUUCUUCCUCUUCUUGAAAUGAAAUGGAUAGAAAGAGGAUGCUCGGCCUAAAAGACUGGUGGAAAAAGCUCUUUUCGUUGCUUUGGUAAAGACCUUUUGUUGAACUAAGUCAGUCUGUUUUCAAAAAGAAGUUGUUUUCCUCUAAUGGAUUUAUUUCCGUUCAAGCCAUAAAAGCCCCGUAGCUAUAGCUAUCCAAGAGUGAAAGACUACCGGGCGAGGGCUUGUUCUUACUGAGUGAGUUGGCUAGCAUUCCUAACAAGCCUUCCUGCGAUCGAAGUCAGUUUCACUCCUUUUUUCUUGAUCCUUCUUCACAGCUUUCCCUAACCAUUUUCUCACUGCUUGGGGCUCCUUGAGUGGUGAAUGUGUCUGCGUCUUUCUUCGGUGAGCGCAGUCUCUAAUGAUUUAUCUUUCCCUUGAGGAUUUGAAGUGUAAUAAGUGUGUGGUGUCAGGGCCCUUUCCUUUUACUUUAGCCUUUUAAACUCAUGCUGCAGAAAGUGCGGAUUUUUAUUUAUCUUUCUUCUUUCUUUCUCUGCCGCUUCUUUAUUAAGUCUUUGUCUUGCAGGAGGGAUGUCAAACCAUUUUCUUCUUCCUUGAGUAUAAGAGCUUAGCGAAAGUACUUAUUUUAUUUUUUUUGAAGAAGUGAGAAUCGGGGAUAGUCCCAUUUCCUUUUUUCUUCAGAUUCCCGUAUCGAGUCCUUGAGUUCUUUCUGUCGAUAGAGUCAAUGCGAGAAGUAGGACCCUUUCGGUAGCCUCUUAGUGAGGUGCAAUGCCUUUUUUUUUGCUGCUUUUUAACAACUCUCAUGCAUCAAGGGCUUAUUUUCAUUUCUCUUGCUUGACGAAUGAAGUGCACCAUUAGUUAUGGGUCACUUCCGUCGGUCUAUCAUUCGAAGUCUUCGCUGUCUGUGAUGGGGUUGCAGGUCUGAUCUUUUGUCUUCUUUCGGAAGCUAGGAUUAGAAGGUCUUUCCUAAUUUGUAAAAAUUCCUCUAUGUUUUCAAGUUAUCCUUUAUAUUGAGUGAAGUGACUACUCGCCUAUGCUUUCUUUGUGGGUGCAUCCCUUGCGAAAUUCCCCUAGUCUCGGUCUUUUUCUCCUUUUAGUGUGUUCGUGUAUUACUUGUACUACUUUUUAGUGAUGGAAAUUAGAAAGGGUCUUUUCUUAUGUUAUUCUUUCUAGCUCUACCCGCGUGGAAGCCCCAGUAGCCUAUCUGUAGCUUCAGGAUUAAAAUAAAAGUCAUUCUUGUCCGUUCUGUCUUUCUCUAAGAGCGAGGGUUGUAGGUGUAGAAGCAGUCUUGUAGCCUUUAGUCAGCUAAGAGCCAGUUCGGUAUUGUGCUAGUAAGGUAAGAGCAGCUGUCGAUUCUGGUAGCAGAAAAAGUCUUGGAUUGGUCCAUUCGUUAAACAUUGGAAUCGGGACAUCUCUUUGCCUGCUAUUCCUUCUCUUUCUAUCUAUCCUCUAUCAUUUAUCUUUUUUCUCUUAGCGAGUGAAGUUCCUCUCAUAAUUGAUGGUUCACUUCAUGAUCCUUUACUUUAUUGUCUUUGUCUCUUGAAUAUUCGAUUUCAAGUUAAUAGGUAUUGGACCAUCCCCUAGCCUUUAUGUUGGGGCAUUUGCUUUGACUUUGGUUAGAAAAACUGCUUUCCCUCCUUAUUUCUUCUUUUUCGAAUGAAGUGACUCACUCUUGUGUGUCAAGAAGGCUCUAAAACAUUUGAUUCUUGCUUUAGUUGUUGUACCAGAAAAAGAAGCAAGUGCUGACUUUUCUUUCUUCCCUAGAUGAGCUACCGUGGGUGUGGGAAGAGCCUUUUCAAUUUACAAUUUUCAUUCUUGUUGUAAGGAUUGGCAGUCUGGGAAGUGGCUUAUGUGGUUGUGUUCCCAUUCCCGGUAGUUUCUUUAAGUCGUAGGCUUGAUUUAAUCUUUUAUGUGACAGCCCUAAAGUGACCCUAGUCGGAAAGCAGUUUCGGGACCGCUAAACCGAGUCACUAAAUUAUUUGAAUAUGAUAUUUAUUGUCUAAAAUAUGUGACUAUGAAUGUGUGAAGGUUUUAAGCUUCGAUUUAGUUAAUUGCACGUGAAUUUAGUUAAUAGGACUUAUGUGUGACACUUUUGAAAUGUGAUAGGUUAAUCUAUAAGGAUCUAUUAGUGCAUAUAAUCAUAAAGGUGGACUUGCAUGUCAAUUUUCCCCCUUAAAUAGUAGUGGCCGGCCAUGACAAGGUGGAUAGACAAAUUGUGAUGGGUAAAACAUAUUAUGAAAAGUUUAUGACAACAUGUUGUGUUAAGAACAAUAAAAUAUGUGGGGAGUGGGAGGAGAAACCAAAGUUGUUUCAUCCUUGCUCCCCCAUUUUGCCGAAACUAGAAGAGAAAAUAAAAGGCUUCAUUCUUUGGUUCAUCUUGGCCGAAUUGAAAAGAGGAAGAAGGGGAUGAAGCAAUCGGCCAUCUUAGGUGAAUAUUAAGGUAAGAAAGUUUAUGCUAGUCCUUGAAAUUUUAGUUGAUAUUGAGUGAGUUAUCAAGUUAUUUUUGGUAACCCAUGUUGAAAUUUUGAUUUUGGAUUGAGUAAGGUUUUCGGCUAUGGAGAUUAAUAAGGGUGAUGGUUAUGUUUCAUGCUAAAUCUAGAUGAACAAUUGUAGAUGCUUACACCUUGAUAUUUAUGAGUUCCUUUCUUGGUUCUACCUUAGAUCCAUGAAGUAUAUUUUCAUUUGGUGUUGUUGGAGAUUUCGGUCAUGGGUAGAAAAAAAAGGAACUAUAGAUUUUGAGGUUUAUGUUAGAAGCUAAUGAGUGAGAGUUGGAUGAAUAUUAGGAGGUUAUAAUUCAUGGGAUUGUAAGCUUGUAAGCUUGAUGAUGAAAUUUAUGCUUUGUGAAGGUAAAUGGUUUAAAAGGAGCAUUCGGCCAUGAUGUAAGAUUAUGAUGAAGUGAUGUUAAAUGCUUUGAAUAUUGAGUAUAUAUUGUUAUAAGUUGAAUUUGAGGUUUGUUAAGUUGUCUUUGUCAUUGCCGAAUGUGUGUAUAGUUAAAGAAAACUUGUUAAAGUGCUUAGUUAAGUGAUAUUAGGUUAAUGAUAUGUGUAUCCGGUCAUAAAGGUGUACAUGAGGAAAUGUUAGAUUAAUUAUGUUAAAUUACUCAAUGUGAUUAAAAAUGCGUAUGAUCAUUUUGUAUUUGAGCUAAAGGUGGCCAUAUGACCUAUCAAAUUCCUUGUCAUAUUCGGCCAUAAGCUAGCAUAAUGAGACUUUAAUAAGUUAAAUUUAUUUGAAUUAGCUCAAGAGCAAAGGGGAACUAAAUCCGAUAAAGGGAAGGAAAAAGUGGUCGAAUAACCAUCGAAAUCGUUCGACAACAUCCGAGGUAAGUUUUCGAGUAACGAGACUUAGUUUACGAUUUGAUUAAGUCAUGACGUAUGAGCAUAACAAAUAUACGGUGAUAUGAUGAUUCUACUUGAAUUAUAUGUUGAGUUAAUUAGUCUAUACGUAUGACGGGUAGCCGUAUGUGCAUAGAGAUCGUGUCAUAAAGCAAACUAAACCAUGCUGUUUGUAUGUGGCUAGUGAGCCGAAAAUGGGAUUGCUUAAUACGUGACUUGUGUUUGAACCCUAAUUAUGAAAAUGAAAUAUAGAUGUGUCAUGAUUUAUUGAUAUGUGCAUGAAUAUUUGGAUGAUAACCGGGCUAAGUCUCGAAGGCAUUUUGCGCUAGUGACUAAUUCCGGGCUAAGUCCCGAAGGCAUUUGUGCAAGUUAUUAUAUCCGGGCUAAGUCCCGAAGGCAUUUGUGCGAGUUAUUACAUCCGGGCUAAGUCCCGAAGGCAUUUGUGCGAGUUACUAUAUCCGGGCUAAGUCCCGAAGGCAUUGGCGCGAGUUACUAUAUCCGGGCUAUGUCCCGAAGGCAUUGAGCGAGUAGCUAUAUCCGGUUAAAUCCCGAAGGUACUUGGCUUGGGAAUGAGCAACCUUGCUGUAAUAGUUUCAAUUAAUAUGGUCGUAAAAUCCCAGCAAUGAGGUAUGUCUCGUAUAUGCAUUGAUUUAGUUGAUCCCUUACAAUUAGUAUUCGCUCAAUCGGUAAAUGAGCUACCGGCCUUUGGCUAAGUUGAUCUUUUGUGUAUGAAUAUAAGGGUUGGUAAUGUGAAGUAAGUAUGAUAUUGAGAAUUUGUGCAUAUGAAAUUAUCCGUUUAGCCAUAUGAAUGUUACACUUUAGUUGUGUCAAAUUUUAUGGCUCAAAACUUACUAAGCAUUAAAUGCUUACUCCGUUUCUUUGAAUCUCUGUUUUAUAGAUUUUGGUUCGUCAGCUAUCGGACUCGGGAUUAUUGAAGUCGAAGUCGCCCACACUAUCAAAGCCCCUUUUGGUACACUUUUGGUUGAACUUUGAAAUGGCAUGUAUAGGACUACCCGUUUUGUUGUUGGUCAUGGACCCUUUGGUUUUGUAUAAAUUUGGAUAGCCAUGCGAAAAUGGCUUAUAUACACUUUGAGCUUAGUAUUAUAAUCAUCUUGUAUGAUGUUCAUUAAGAGGUAUGGAAAUGUUUGGGAACGAUUAGCCGUUGGAAUGGUUAAGCAUGAACAUAUUUUGUGCUAUAUAUGCUAAAGGGCUAGUUGAAUCAUGGAAACUAUGUAAUAGGUAAAGUCUACCUUAAAAAUAGAUGCUGAUAGCAGCAGUGAUGUGAAUGUGAAAAAUCACUAAAAAUAGUAGGAAUGGAAUUAAAUAGUGAAUAAAUUAUGUAAUCGAACCUUGAUGAAUCUAUUUUCUUAGGAAAGUAACGAAAUGAUCAUAUGAACAGCAUAUUAUGAGAUAUUUAAGUUUUCGCGAAACAGGACCAGAACGGUUUCUGGAUUCCCUGUUCCGACUUUGGAAAUUCAUUAUAAAUUAACCAGAGAUAAUUAAAAGUCAUGCCAUAUAUGUAUAGAUUUAUUUUCGAGUCUAGUUUCCAUAGAAAUAAACGGCAUCAGUAUUGAAGCCUUGUACAGGGAGAUAUCUAAGUCCCAAUGCAGGAAGAUUAGGGUAGUCGAACCCUGUAACAGGGGAGACUUUAACUAAUAAACUAUACUAAUUGGCUCGACUAAAAAUUCUAGAAAAAACUUUGUGGAUGAAUAUAUGAGUCUAGUUUCAGGGAAAAAUUACGAAACUGAUUUUCGAGUUUUGGAACUCAAGAUAUGAUUUUUAAGGUGACAGUGACACAGUUAGUCAGCUGUCUGGAAAUUUUUAAAAUGGAUUGUGAAAAUAAGUGAAUUAAGUCUGUUAACCCCUCGUGUCCGACUCCGGCAACGGUCUUGGGUACGGGGUGUUACAAUUAAAUUGGUAUCAGAGCUACGGUUUAGUCGAUUCUAGGACUACCGUAAUACGUGUGGGUCUAGCUAUACAUGCCAUUUUGUGAUUAUUUGAUAGUGUGGUGAUUUCUGACAUUUGCAAAUGUGUUUAUUUAUAGUAAUGGAUCCCGAUCCUGACCGAGCGGUAGCUGAUGAUCUUGAGAGUGUAGCGCCUGCUCCCGCACAAGGGACAGCGCCGGCGGACUCUCAACCUAUUGCUAGCAAUCUGAAUGAUGAGGCUAGGCAAGCUUUUUAUAGCGUGAUGAAUGAUUGGUUCAACCAAUACAUUCGAACAAAUACGGCUGUUCCACAACCUCCAUUCUCGACUAAUGCCACCCUCGCACCUACAAUACCUCCGGAAACUUACAAAAUAAGGUCAAAUAAGCCCCCAGUUGACAGAAUCCGAAAACACGGGGCUACUGAAUUUAAGGCUACGGAUAGCGAUGAUGCCGAGCAAGCUGAAUUUUGGUUGGACAAAACUAUUCGGGUACUCGAUGAGCUAUGUUGCACACCCGAUGAGUGCCUAAAGUGUACUAUCUCCUUGCUACGUGAUUCUGCCUACUAUUGGUGGAAUACGUUAACUUCUGUUGUGCCCAGAGAGCAAGUAACUUGGGACUUUUUCCAAACCGAGUUUCGGAAAAAAUAUAUCAGUUAGAGAUUUAUGGAUCAAAAACGGAAGGAAUUUCUUGAACUUAAACAAGGUUCCAUGUCGGUUACCGACUAUGAACGAAAAUUUGUGAGGCUUAGCCGAUAUGCGCGAGAAUGCAUUUCUUCAGAGGCCGUGAUGUGUAAACGUUUCGAGGAUGGACUGAAUGAUGAUAUAAAGCUGUGUGUUGGCAUUUUAGAAAUCCGAGAAUUUGUGGUACUCGUCGAGCGAGCUUGCAAAGCUGAGGAGCUCAGUACGGAGAAAAGAAAAGCUGAUAUGGGAGCAAAGGAGUUUCGUAAGAGGUCUUCGGGGAGGCCCUUUCAACAGUCAUCGAAGAAAUUUAGAGAUGAUUUAGGCCGAUCUAAAAACACUUCGGGCUUUUCUAGACGAGAUCGCGAUCGACCCCCUGUGAGUGCACGAGUCACUUUGGUCGCCAGGAUUGGAACUGAUCGUCGAGACAGAGCGGAGUGCCAGUAUUGUGGUAAAUGGUAUUCGGGGAGUUGUAGAUUCCAUGACCGCUCCUGUUACAAGUGCGGGUCAGUUGACCACUUUAUUAAAGAUUGCCCGAGGUUGUCUGAACAGAAUGUAAAUCAGAGUGGGAAACCGGGUGCUACCACUGCUCGAGUAAACCAUCUAGAAAUACGGGCAAUGCUAGUGGUGGUCAGAGAGGAUCUAGAGAUGCAACGACCAGAUCUGAGGCUCGUGCUCCUGCUAGAGCUUAUGCUAUACGCACACGCGAGGAUGCUUCCUCGCCAGACGUUAUUACCGGUACUUUUACUCUCUUUGAUUCUAAUGUGAUUUCUUUGAUUGACCCCGGUUCUACUCAUUCUUAUAUAUGUGAAACCUUAGCAUCCAGUAAGACUUUACCUAUUGAGUCUAUUGAGUUCGUAAUUCGGGUGUCAAAUCCCUUGGGUCGUUACGUGCUUGUCGAUAAAGUGUGUAAGAAAUGUCCCCUAGUAAUUCGAGGUUCCUGUUUUUCGGCGGACUUGAUGCUUUUGCCGUUUGAUGAAUUUGAUGUUAUCCUCAGUUUAGAUUGGUUGACCGUGCAUGAUGCGGUUGUGAAUUGCAAAAGCAAGACUAUUGAUUUGAGGUGCGCAAAUAACGAGAUAAUCCGAGUUGAGUCUACGGACUUAAAAGGGUUGCCAGCUGUAAUAUCAUCAAUGUUAGCCCAUAAAUAUGUAAGAAAGGGGUGCGAAGCAUACCUCGCGUAUGUACUUGAUGACAAAGAGUUAGAAAAGAAACCUGAAUCUGUGCCGGUGGUUUGUGAAUACCCGGAUGUUUUUCCCGAGGAAUUACCGGGUUUACCACCUGUUCGGGAGGUAGAGUUUGGUAUUGAGCUUGUACCUGGGACUACGCCGAUUUCGAUGGCUCCGUAUCGUAUGGCACCAACCGAGUUAAAAGAGUUGAAAGCUCAGUUGCAAGAAUUGACGGAUAGAGGUUUCGCUCGACCAAGUUUCUCUCCUUGGGGUGCACCAGUAUUGUUUGUGAAAAAGAAGGACGAAACCAUGAGGUUGUGCAUCGACUAUCGUCAGCUGAAUAAGGUGACAAUAAAGAAUAAAUAUCUGAUGCCACGUAUUGACGAUUUGUUUGAUCAACUAAAGGGAGCCUUAGUGUUUUCGAAGAUAGAUUUAAGAUUGGGUUAUUACCAGUUGCGAGUUCGAGAUUCAGAUAUACCCAAAACUUCUUUCAGAACGAGAUACGGCCACUACGAGUUCUUAGUGAUGCCGUUUGGGCUCACUAAUGCCCCUGCGGUAUUUAUGGAUUUGAUGAAUCGGAUCUUUAGAUAGUAUUUGGACCGGUUCGUAGUUGUGUUUAUUGAUGACAUUUUGGUCUAUUCAAGAGAUGAGACCGAACAUGCUGAGCACCUGAGAUUAGUGUUGCAAAUUUUACGGGAUAAGCAGUUAUAUGCUAAGUUCAGUAAGUGUGAGUUCUGGUUAAGAGAGGUUAGCUUCUUGGGUCAUGUGGUAUCCGCAUCGGGUAUUCGAGUUGACCCGAGCAAAAUUUCAGCCAUACUUAACUGGAAGCCUCCGAGAAAUAUUACUGAGGUUCGGAGCUUUUUGGGACUUGCCGGUUACUACCAACGGUUUGUAAAAGAUUUCUCGAUGAUAGCCACACCAAUUACGAAGCUACUUCAAAAAGAUGUUAAGUUCGAAUGGACGGAAAAAUGUCAGAAAAGUUUUGAUCAACUGAAAACUUAUUUGACUGAAGCUCCAGUACUAGUGCAGCCCGAAUCAGGCAAAGAGUUUGUCAUUUAUAACGAUGCAUCCCUACUUGGGUUAGGUUGCGUAUUGAUGCAAGAAGGUCGAGUUGUGGCCUAUGCGUCGAGACAAUUAAAGCCACAUGAGAAAAAUUAUCCGACCCAUGAUCUCGAAUUAGCUGCCAUCGUAUUCGCUUUGAAAAUAUGGCGACAUUACUUAUUUGGUGAGAAGUGCCAUGUAUUUUCGGAUCACAAAAGUCUCAAAUAUUUGAUGACUCAAAGAGACUUAAAUCUGCGACAAAGACGUUGGCUGGAGUUGUUGAAAGAUUAUGAGCUUGUCAUUGACUAUCACCCGAGAAAGGCUAAUGUGGUUGCGGAUGCCUUAAGUCGUAAAUCACUGUUUGCUUUGCGAGCAAUGAACGUACACUUGUCCGAUCUAUCCGACAACGUGUUAGUAGCUGAAUUAAAGGCCAAACCAUUAUUGAUUCAUCAAAUUCGGGAGGCUCAGAAAGUCGAUGGCGAAUUGGUUGCAAAACGGGCUGAAUGUGUUUCGAACAUGGAAUCAGAGUUUCAAAUUGAUGACGACGAUUGUUUGAGGUUCCGAAGUCGUUUGUGCGUUCCAAGGAAUUCAGAACUUAUUUCGAUGAUUCUGAACGAAGCUCAUUGUAGCCGAAUGUCAAUUCACCCGGGGAGUACGAAAAUGUACCACGACCUAAGACGUCAGUUUUGGUGGCAUGGUAUGAAACGAGACAUUUCCGAUUUUGUCUCGAAGUGCUUAGUAUGUCAGCAAGUGAAGGCGAAACAUCAAGUGCCUACGGGUUUACUUCAGCCGAUCAUGAUACCUGAAUGGAAAUGGGAUAGAAUCACGAUGGAUUUUGUGUCUGGGUUGCCAUUGUCGACAAGUAAGAAAGAUGCGAUUUGGGUUGUUGUUGAUAGACUGACUAAGUCGGCUCAUUUUAUCCCCGUACGUACGGAUUUUUCAUUGGAUAAACUAGCUGAAUUGUAUGUUUCUCAGAUUGUGAGAUUACCGGGGUACCGAUUUCUAUUGUGUCGGAUAGAGAUCCGAGAUUCACUUCGCGAUUUUGGAAGAAAUUGCAAGAAGCUUUGGGUACCAAGCUGCAUUUUAGCACAGCUUUUCAUCCACAAACCGAUGGUCAAUCCGAGCGGAUAAUUCAGAUACUUGAGGAUAUGUUGAGAUGUUGCAUCCUCGAGUUUAGUGGCUCAUGGGAGAGGUAUUUACCCUUGAUUGAAUUCGCUUACAACAAUAGUUUUCAAUCAAGUAUUAACAUGGCGCCUUACGAGGCUUUGUACGGGCAUAAAUGCCGUACACCAUUUUUUUGGACCGAGCUCGAUGAAAGUAAAGUUUUUGGAAUUGAUUUGAUUAAAGAUGCUGAAUAGAAAGUAAAAGUAAUCCGUGAAAGUCUGAAGGCAGCCACAGAUCGUCAGAAAUCGUAUGCGGAUUUGAAACAAAAAGACAUUGAAUAUCAGGUGGGAGAUAAAGUGUUUCUUAAAGUUUCACCUUGGAAAAAGAUACUCAGAUUUGGCCGUAAGGGCAAGUUGAGUCUGAGAUUCAUUGGGCCGUACAAAAUCUCCGAACGAGUUGGUCCAGUUGCGUAUAGAUUGAUUUUGCCCCCUGAACUUGAAAAGAUUCACGACGUCUUUCAUGUUUCGAUGCUUCGACGUUAUAGAUCUGAUCCGCCACACGUAAUUAAUCUAUCAGAGGUUGAAAUUCAAUCCGACAUGAGUUAUAAAGAAGAGCCGAUUCGUAUCCUAGCUCGUGAAAGUAAAGAGUUACGAAACAAAAAGGUUCCUUUUGUAAAAGUGUUAUGGCUCAAACACGGGAUAGAAGAAGCUACUUGGGAACCCGAGAACUCUAUGAAAGAGCGAUACCCAAACCUAUUUACCGGUAAGAUUUUCGGGGACGAAAAUUUCUUAAGUGGGGGAGAGUUGUGACAGCCCUAAAGUGACCCUAGUCAGAAAGCGGUUUCGGGACCGCUAAACCGAGUCACUAAAUUAUUUGAAUAUGAUAUUUAUUGUCUAAAAUAUGUGAAUAUGAAUGUGUGAAAGUUUUAAGCUUCGAUUUAGUUAAUUGCACGUGAAUUUCGUUAAUAGGACUUAUGUGUGACACUUUUGAAAUGUGAUAGGUUAAUCUAUAAGGAUCUAUUAGUGCAUAUAAUCAUAAAGGUGGACUUGCAUGCCAAUUUUCCCCCUUAAAUAGUAGUGGCCGACCAUGACAAGGUGGAUAGACAAAUUGUGAUGGGUAAAACAUAUUAUGAAAAGUUUAUGACAACAUGUUGUGUUAAGAACAAUAAAAUAUGUGGGGAGUGGGAGGAGAAACCAAAGUUGUUUCAUCCUUGCUCCCCCAUUUUGCCGAAACUAGAAGAGAAAAUAAAAGGCUUCAUUCUUUGGUUCUUCUUGGCCGAAUUGAAAAGAGGAAGAAGGGGAUGAAGCAAUCGGCCAUCUUAGGUGAAUAUUAAGGUAAGAAAGUUUAUGCUAGUCCUUGAAAUUUUAGUUGAUAUUGAGUGAGUUAUCAAGUUAUUUUUGGUAACCCAUGUUGAAAUUUUGAUUUUGGAUUGAGUAAGGUUUUUGGCUAUGGAGAUUAAUAAGGGUGAUGGUUAUGUUUCAUGCUAAAUCUAGAUGAACAAUGGUAGAUGCUUACACCUUGAUAUUUAUGAGUUCCUUUCUUGGUUCUACCUUAGAUCCAUGAAGUAUAUUUUCAUUUGGUGUUGUUGGAGAUUUCGGUCAUGGGUAGAAAAAAAGGAACUAUAGAUUUUGAGGUUUAUGUUAGAAGCUAAUGAGUGAGAGUUGGAUGAAUAUUAGGAGGUUAUAAUUCAUGGGAUUGUAAGCUUGUAAGCUUGAUGAUGAAAUUUAUGCUUUGUGAGGGUAAAUGGUUUAAAAGGAGCAUUCGGCCAUGAUGUAAGAUUAUGAUGAAGUGAUGUUAAAUGCUUUGAAUAUUGAGUAUAUAUUGUUAUAAGUUGAAUUUGAGGUUUGUUAAGUUGUCUUUGUCAUUGCCGAAUGUGUGUAUAGUUAAAGAAAACUUGUUAAAGUGCUUAGUUAAGUGAUAUUAGGUUAAUGAUAUGUGUAUCCAGUCAUAAAGGUGUACAUGAGGAAAUGUUAGAUUAAUUGUGUUAAAUUGCUCAAUGUGAUUAAAAAUGCGUAUGACCAUUUUGUAUUUGAGCUAAAGGUGGCCAUAUGACCUAUCAAACUCCUUGUCAUAUUCGGCCAUAAGCUAGCAUAAUGAGACUUUAAUAAGUUAAAUUUGUUUGAAUUAGCUCAAGAGCAAAGGGGAACUAAAUCCGAUAAAGGGAAGGAAAAAGUGGUCGAAUAGCCAUCGAAAUCGUUCGACAACAUCUGAGGUAAGUUUUCGAGUAACGAGACUUAGUUUACGAUUUGAUUAAGUCAUGACGUAUGAGCAUAACAAAUAUACGGUGAUAUGAUGAUUCUACUUGAAUUAUAUGUUGAGUUAAUUAGUCUAUAUGUAUGACGGGUAGCCGUAUGUGCAUAGAGAUCGUGUCAUAAAGCAAACUAAACCAUGCUAUUUGUAUGUGGCUAGUGAGCCGAAAAUGGGAUUGCUUAAUACGUGACUUGUGUUUGAACCCUAAUUAUGAAAAUGAAAUAUAGAUGUGUCAUGAUUUAUUGAUAUGUGCAUGAAUAUUUGGAUGAUAACCGGGCUAAGUCCCGAAGGCAUUUUGCGCUAGUGACUAGUUCCGGGCUAAGUCCCGAAGGCAUUUGUGCGAGUUAUUACAUCCGAGCUAAGUCCCGAAGGCAUUUGUGCGAGUUAUUACAUCCGGGCUAAGUCCCGAAGGCAUUUGUGCGAGUUACUAUAUCCGGGCUAAGUCCCGAAGGCAUUGGCGCGAGUUACUAUAUCCGGGCUUUGUCUCGAAGGCAUUGGCGCGAGUUACUAUAUCCGGGCUAUGUCCCGAAGGCAUUGAGCGAGUAGCUAUAUCCGGUUAAAUCCCGAAGGUACUUGGCUUGGGAAUGAGCGACCUUGCUGUAAUAGUUUCAAUUAAUAUUCUCGUAAAAUCCCAGCAAUGAGGUAUGUCUCGUAUAUGCAUUGAUUUAUUUGAUCUCUUACAAUUAGUAUUCGCUCAGUCGGUAAAUGAGCUACCGGCCUUUGGCUAAGUUGAUCUUUUGUGUAUGAAUAUAAGGGUUGGUAAUGUGAAGUAAGUAUGAUAUUGAGAAUUUGUGCAUAUGAAAUUAUCCAUUUAGCCAUAUGAAUGUUACACUUUAGUUGUGUCAAAUUUUAUGGCUCAAAACUUACUAAGCAUUAAAUGCUUACUCCGUUUCUUUGAAUCUCUGUUUUAUAGAUUUUGGUUCGUCAGCUAUCGGACUCGGGUUUAUUGAAGUCGAAGUCGCCCACACUAUCAAAGCCCCUUUUGGUACACUUUUGGUUGAACUUUGAAAUGGCAUGUAUAGGACUACCCGUUUUGUUGUUGGUCAUGGACCCUUUGGUUUUGUAUAAAUUUGGAUAGCCAUGCGAAAAUGGCUUAUAUACACUUUGAGCUUAGUAUUAUAAUCAUCUUGUAUGAUGUUCAUUAAGAGGUAUGGAAAUGUUUGGGAACGAUUAGCCGUUGGAAUGGUUAAUCAUGAUCAUAUUUUGUGCUAUAUAUGCUAAAGGGCUAGUUGAAUCAUGGAAACUAUGUAAUAGGUAAAGUCUACCUUAAAAAUAGAUGCUGAUAGCAGCAGUGAUGUGAAUGUGAAAAAUCACUAAAAAUAGUUGGAAUGGAAUUAAAUAGUGAAUAAAUUAUGUAAUCUAACCUUGAUGAAUCUAUUUUCUUAGGAAAAUAAGGAAACGAUCAUAUGAACAGUAUAUUAUGAGAUAUUUAAGUUUUCGCGAAACAGGGCCAGAACAGUUUCUGGAUUCCCUGUUCCGACUUUGGAAAUUCAUUAUAAAUUAACCAGAGAUAAUUAAAAGUCAUGCCAUAUAUGUAUAGAUUCCUUUUCGAGUCUAGUUUCCAUAGAAAGAAACGGCAUCAGUAUUGAAGCCCUGUACAGGGAGAUAUCUAAGUCGCAAUGCAGGAAGGUCAGGGUAGUCGAACCCUGUAAUAGGGGAGACUUUAACUAAUAAACUGUACUAAUUGGAUCGACCAAAAAUUCUAGAAAAAAAUUUGUGGAUGGAUAUAUGAGUCUAGUUUCAGGUAAGAAUUACAAAACUGAUUUUUGAGUUUUGGAACUCAAGAUAUGAUUUUUAAGGUGACAGUGACGCAGUUAGUCAGCUGUCUGGAAAUUUUUAAAAUGGACUGUGAAAAUAAGUGAAUUAAGUCUGUUAACCCCUCGUGUCCGACUCCGGAAACGGUCUCGGGUACGGGGUGUUACAUUUUGUAACUCAUGAAGUGAAUUUUCUUCUUGCCUUAUUGCCUUGAGUUCUAUUGUGGUAUAAGUAAGGCAUUGGGUAAGCAGCGGAGGUACGUAAAGAGGUGUCUGCGCAGUUCGGAUCCUUUAUUGUGGUAAGGGACAUUGUCUCACCCGCUCUAAUCUAUCUGUCUCCUCCUUCCAUAAAGGGGAAGUAAGCCCUAGGAGGGGAGAAAUAAAAAAGAAAGAAAGGAAUUCGCACUGAACCAACUUGCUACUUGCUGCAAGAUAACUGGCAGAGAAGACCGUCUUCGCUCACCUAGAUCGACAUAGAAAGAUUUAGCUAUAAUAUAACUACUGCCUUCAAGCUUUAAACUGAUAGACCG